UGGUGGAGUGAUUUGUCUGGUCAAUUCCGUUAACGAACGAGACCUUAACCUGCUAAAUAGUUACAUGUAACCUCGGUUACAUGGGCAACUUCUUAGAGGGACUUUCCGUGUCUAACGCAAGGAAGUUUGAGGCAAUAACA
rnacentral:rRNA from 1 species